rnacentral:rRNA from 1 species
UACAGAGGUCUCAAGCGUUGUUCGGAUUCAUUGGGCGUAAAGGGUGCGUAGGCGGCGCGGUAAGUCGGGUGUGAAAUCUCGGGGCUUAACUCCGAAACUGCAUUCGAUACUUCCGUGCUUGAGGACUGGAGAGGAGACUGGAAUUUACGGUGUAGCGGUGAAAUGCGCAGAUAUCAGGAAGAACACCCGUGGCGAAGGCGGCUCUCUGGGACGGUACUGACGCUGAGACGCGAAAGCGUGGGGAGCGAACAGG